UGGGGAAUUUUGGACAAUGGGCGAAAGCCUGAUCCAGCAAUGCCGCGUGUGUGGGAAGAAGGCCUUCGGGUUGUAAAGCACUUUUGUCCGGAAAGAAAUCCUUGGCUCUAAUACAGUCGGGGGAUGACGGUACCGGAAGAAUAAGCACCGGCUAACUACGUGCCAGCAGCCGCGGUAAUACGUAGGGUGCAAGCGUUAAUCGGAAUUACUGGGCGUAAAGCGUGCGCAGGCGGUUUGCUAAGACCGAUGUGAAAUCCCCGGGCUCAACCUGGGAACUGCAUUGGUGACUGGCAGGCUAGAGUAUGGCAGAGGGGGGUAGAAUUCCACGUGUAGCAGUGAAAUGCGUAGAGAUGUGGAGGAAUACCGAUGGCGAAGGCAGCCCCCUGGGCCAAUACUGACGCUCAUGCACGAAAGCGUGGGGAGCAAACAGGAUUAGAUACCCUGGUAGUCCACGCCCUAAACGAUGUCAACUAGUUGUUGGGGAUUCAUUUCCUUAGUAACGUAGCUAACGCGUGAAGUUGACCGCCUGGGGAGUACGGUCGCAAGAUUAAAACUCAAAUGAAUUGACGGGGUCAUAGCUGUUUCCU
rnacentral:rRNA from 1 species